GACGAACGCUGGCGGCGUGCUUAACACAUGCAAGUCGAACGGAAAGGCCCUGCUUUUGUGGGGUGCUCGAGUGGCGAACGGGUGAGUAACACGUGAGUAACCUGCCCUUGACUUUGGGAUAACUUCAGGAAACUGGGGCUAAUACCGGAUAGGAGCUCCUGCUGCAUGGUGGGGGUUGGAAAGUUUGGGCGGUUGGGGAUGGACUCGCGGGUUAUCAGCUUGUUGGUGGGGUAGUGGCUUACCAAGGCUUUGACGGGUGGCCGGCCUGAGAGGGUGACCGGCCACAUUGGGACUGAGAUACGGCCCAGACUCCUACGGGAGGCAGCAGUGGGGAAUAUUGCACAAUGGGCGGAAGCCUGAUGCAGCAACGCCGCGUGCGGGAUGACGGCCUUCGGGUUGUAAACCGCUUUCGCCUGUGACGAAGCGUGAGUGACGGUAAUGGGUAAAGAAGCACCGGCUAACUACGUG
rnacentral:rRNA from 1 species